AAGGUUGGCUAAUAUAGCCUUACAAUAAUAAAACGGUGAGGACAUCAUCAGUCAAAUCUCAAGAUACCCGCGCACUUAGCUAAACUAAUGCAAUCAUACAGUAUAGCAUGCCUACUUCUUCUAUUGUUGGAGUGUUAUCAUCAAAAGUUUGUCCACCACUUGUUUUUGGCUCAGUUUUAUUAAGGGGCAACAUGUUUUAAGGGGAGUUCUGCUUACCGCAGGUUGUACCCUCACUCCCUCAUCUCUGUCCCUCUCCUCCUAAAUCUCCUCCUCACUGCCACUGCCACGGACA